ensembl:lncRNA
AAAAAAAUCAAAUCUAAUUAAUAUUUAUAUCUGUGUAAAAAAAAUGCCAAAGAUGAUGCAUAAGAAAAAACUCAGAAGAAACCUGGAAGCAUCUAAAAUAUUAAAUCAAAACUAUUUAUCUGAAGUGAAGAUAAGCUGAAGGAGUUUACAAAAGAAGGGGAAGCCGACAGUGAUGAAUGUAGCAAUUUGGAAACUGAGAAGGAAAGUAAGCAUGAGGAGGAGAAGCUAUGGAGGAGGAGAGCAGGGAGGACUAAUAAAAAAGAGAGACUUUGGAGGGAGGAAAAGAAACUAAGGGUAGCUCUGUAUGCAUAAAACCGUUUUCAACAGCAGUAAAAGAGAAUGGGGCAACCUCAUCCCUCUUCUGACUUCAGUGACCUCAGUAGAGUUAAAAGGAUAAAAGAGGCUGUAAAAUAUUAAGCUAAAGUCUUGGCACCCAAACACUCUCAACCCGUUGUACAAAUAGCCUGUCUCUCUCAUGGGUUUUUCAGUUCCAGUAUCUAAACACAACUGACAGACUUAUAGCUCGAUGCUAAGCAAGGCAAUCUGGAUUGCUCAGGAAAACGAGGUCUUCCCGUGGAUGUCAGCACUGUGGAGUUGGGGUUGCUUCGUCCUGCUCUCUUCCACUGCAGCACUUGACAUACAGCAGGUGAAGCUUUUUGGUCUUUGUCCUAAACAACCCCACUUUCUGAAUAAAUACGCGGGCUGCUGAGUGAUCUCCUCGCAGUGGCUCAGGAGAUGUGCAAGAAUGAAUUGAGACAAUUUCGCAGCAACAUCCAGCACCUGCUGUACAGCUGCCUGUGACUGCAGCAGACUGGAUUCAGAGACCCAUGUGUUUCCUGCCAAUCCCACAGCUUCAGUUGUCUUUUCUGCUGCAAGAAAUAAGAUAGUACUUCAGAACAAGACAUGAGAGAAAGAUCAAAGACCCAUUCAGCCUGGAAGCCCAUUUCAGAUGGAUAUCCCAAUGACUUGGAAAAGGUGCACAGCUCCCCUAGGACAGCUGACGCAGGAGUAAGGGGUGGUAUUGCAUUCACUGUAACUAUGGCUUUGAUAUCAACCACAAGUCACAGACAUCCUCUAAGCCCCAACAGUAAUCACCACUCUUCUCUGGAGCUGCAAGACUGAGACAUGAGCUAUCCUUCUCAAUGGGUCGCUACCAUUGUGAUAUCUCCAGCAAGAGCAAUACUGCAAACAAGACAGAGGAUGGACACAAAGGAAGACUAAGGGGACUGGGUUCUGUUUUUUGCCCACCACCCCCCCCCCCUUUUUUUUUUUUUAAGACAUACACACACAAAAGCCCACAGAGAAAAGAAGUUCAGAAAACAAGUUUGAGCAGCUUUUCUUGAAUUCUGCAUCAAAGUGAGAUCAUUUCAUUGCCUUGUUUUCAAUGCAGCUGCAGGCAAAAAGUAGUGGAACUAAAUAGUUUCUGUACAUCUGCUAUUGUUCUCUUUCAAAUCAGUUUUUGAGGAGGGGAAGCAUCCUGCCUUUGUUGUGCAUGGUACGAGUGAGUAAUCUUCCUCUAAGCUCACUUAUGGAAAUUGGCUCACCCAGAGGACAAUGAGAUUGUCCAUGUUGGGCUAAGGAAGGCAGAUCAAUAGAGUCACGCUGUAUUUUGCAUCUGACAGCACCAGCUAAUGGCUGUGUCAGGAAAAAAAUCCCCAUCAUACACCUGCUACAUGUGAAACGAUGCAACUAAUGGAAAGUUCCUGCGCAACUCCCACAGGGAUCAUCUUAAAAGCUAGCUGGUGAGACCGGGCUUCAGUUAUCUUAACAUGCACAAAUGGCUGUUUACAUUUGUUAUUGUUCCUUCCCAAUAAAGUUUAUGUAAAUAUACUUAUUUUACUCUGU